rnacentral:rRNA from 1 species
UACGGAGGAUGCGAGCGUUAUCCGGAUUUAUUGGGUUUAAAGGGUGCGCAGGCGGCACGGCAAGCCGGCGGUCAAAUCGCGGGGCUCAACCCCGCCCAGCCGUCGGAACUGCCGGGCUAGAGUGGGCGAGAAGUGCGCGGAAUGCGUGGUGUAGCGGUGAAAUGCAUAGAGAUAUGGAGGAACACCAGUGGCGAAGGCGGCUUCCUGGUCUGCAACUGACACUGAGGCGCGAAAGCGUGGGGAGCAAACAGG